rnacentral:rRNA from 1 species
UGGUGGAGUGAUUUGUCUGGUUAAUUCCGAUAACGAGCGAGACCUCAGUUUGCUAAUUAGUUGCGUGAAUCUUCGAUUCAUCUAGUAGCUUCUUAGAGAGACUAUCGGUGAGUAGCCGAUGGAAGUUUGAGGCAAUAACA